UACGUAGGGGGCAAGCGUUAUCCGGAUUCACUGGGUGUAAAGGGAGCGUAGACGGCCAUGCAAGCCUGGAGUGAAAGCCCGGGGCCCAACCCCGGGACUGCUCUGGGAACUGUGCGGCUGGAGUGCGGGAGGGGCAGGCGGAAUUCCUGGUGUAGCGGUGAAAUGCGUAGAUAUUAGGAGGAACACCAGUGGCGAAGGCGGCCUGCUGGACGGUGACUGACGCUGAGGCUCGAAAGCGUGGGGAGCAAACAGG
rnacentral:rRNA from 1 species